UUCUCCAGGGGAUCUUCCCAACCCAGGGAUCGAACCCAGGUCUCCCUCAUCGCAGGCCAACUCUUUAGCGUCUGAGCCACCAGGGAAGCCAAUGAUAGCUUAAUUUUAGUAAAAGCAAAAGUUUGGGCAGGUAGUGAACUGGUGUUGUGUCCUAAAAGAAUGAAUCUCUGAGAAAGACAAUUUCCCCACCAGCCAGAAAAUUACUUUGGUGCAAAGAAGUUCAAGUUAAAUCACACAGACAACCGCACUUAGUCUUGAAGUGGGAGUGGACAGGGAUUUAAACUCACAUCUCAGCCACACGCCAGCACCUGCAGUGGGUAGGACCCACCUUCCUGGGUAGCAGUACCCUCAUGGCACUUCCCCAGGACCUUUAACUUAUUAGAAAACCAGACUCAAAUUCCUGAAUUGUCAGUUGCCAUUGGCCCCCACGGGGUUGUGUGCCCAAGAGAAUAACUGCCAUUUAUUGAAAUCCUUUCACUUUUGAAGGUUUUACGUACCUUCUAAGGCCUUGUAGCUCGGAUGUGUACACCACAUGCUCAUUUUAUAAGUGAAGUGUUUGAGGCCCAGAGAGGUUUGGUUUGCUCAGAGUCACACAGCUAUCAUGUGGCAGAGCUAAGACUUGAACUCAAGCCAUCUUGGCGCCAAAGCCCAAGUGUUGGGCCUCAUAACCAAAUAACCUUUAUGGUUAUUGACAAAAGAGAAGCCGGAGCCCCUCUUUUCAAAAUUACUCCAUUUUACCAUCAGAUUUUAAAAUUUAAGGUACAAUCGGGAAUCCGUAUACCUAGCAGAAUUUUGGCCUGUGCCGAACGUUUGCCAAAAUCACGCACGUAGCGAGAGAGUAAAAAAAAGAAUCUUAGGGGCCAGAAAGGCCUUAGGGUCAGGGAGCCCCUGUCUGCAGCUGCAGAAACGGAGACGGGGAGGAGCGGGUGGUCGCUGCCCGCGGGCUGGCUCACCCAGGAGGGGGCAGUGAGCGAGCCGGCCAUGGGGCUGGCACUGGAGCGGGCGCUCGGCACCACGCGGACGCCGUACUUAUUAGACACCCCUUGUGUGCAGAGCAUUGUGCUGGGCUCCAUGGAGAAACACAAAAGGAUUAGGAGACCCUGCGCUGCCUUGACAGCACUCAGAAGCCACCACAGACUGCGGCCUGAUUCUCCUUUGAGGCCUGACGGAGACCUUUAGGCCGCUGUCGGGGGAAGGGCCACACUGCCGUCUCUCCCCUGACCCUCCUUUCAGGCAGGGUAGCUGUAACGAGCCAGGUGUCUGUGGGGACCUCUCCGGGGGCGGUGUUGUGGCGGCUCCUCAGAUUAAGGGAUCAAGGACGGAGGCCUCCAGGCCCUCCUGUUGCCAGGGCAACAGUGAGUCAGGCCGAGGCCUCUCCUCCGGCUUUCUGGAAAGCGUUUUCAGCUGCUGAAGCCUCUUACUGUUUUCGCCCGGCGUCGUGGGGACUUCUAGAUGUAGAUUUGCAAUCAGUUCUGCACUGACCACUUCUCGUUGGGUUCCUUGAAAUGGGUGUUUUUAGUUAAAACACCAACUAACCCUUCUAUUUCUGCUUUCUACCAAAGUCCCUCUUACAGAUAAAGUUCACAGAGGUGAAGCGAUUAGCCCCAGGUCAGUCAUGCGGUCAGAAUUUAAACGUCGAGUGGGUGCUGCUAAUGCUGUUGCAGCCCGCCUCCCGAUUUCUUCUUCGUGGAUCCUCAAUACAGAAGGCGAAACAGUCCUUUUUCUCGAAUUGCAGCUCUGACUCUCCCGUGGACACGGCAGACAGGCCAGGCCAGCCCAGCAACCUGGGGACAGCACGGGGCCCACCAAACACGAAGACAGAGAUGCUGAGCGCCAAGCCAGCCCCCCUCGUUCUGGACCAAGCUCCCCUCUUCUGUGGGGACUUUGGGAAGAGGCUUAACUGCUCAGGCGAGGGGCUCCCUUUCUGUGUGUGUCUCUAUGUUGGGACCUACGAAGCCAUUUGACAGUCAGAGAAGGAGUUGGGCGACGGAGAUGAGCACCAGGACCACGCAUCUGCUCCACAAUCAAACCGAAUUCCUGCCCUAACUCACUCGGUUCGGGCUUGGGCUACCUCUUGGGUCCACACCAUUCCUUACGC